UCACAAUUUAUCUCUCUAGAACAACCUCCUUCGCCUUCGACAAUGGCAAGUUGAUGCCAACACAACCCCUUCUUCCUUCGCUUCCCCUCCCGUCAUUUAGGAUUCAGAGCAUGUUUAAGUACCUGCAUCCACAUAAAAGUCAUGAUAAAUCUAUGACUAGAGGAAGUGAGAAGGUGUACCAUGCGUCUGGGUCCUUUCUCUAAUCAGAGCAUGUUUCAGUAUAUCUACUAAAAAUAGCACCCAAAAAUCUUUAAGGAGGACUUGCAACAACAAAACAGAAGCAUCCGUCUCAAUUCUUAACAGGAAGUCUAAUAAUUUGCAGAGAAUUGGCACUGAUAGAAUCCUAGCAAAUAAUAAAGCCUCGAACAGAGGUAGAGGUAGAUUUGAUUAUGGGUGUGGGGAGGCCAACUUUUCAUUCAAUUAAAUAAUUGCACUCAAAAAGCAAGAAGAUUAUAAGUUAGAAAGUUACUUUCACAGUUGUGCACUGUGACACCCAGGGCCGACGAGGGCGGGGAGUGAUCGCCGGUGCAGUGAGGCACGGUCAAGGAGCGGCUCCUUGCAGGCUUCUAGGCGAAGGGGCACAUGAAUGAAUCAAUCUCGCACCCGAACAAGAGGUAUUCCGAGACUGUAUAGAUAUGAGACUAUACAGUUGAGGAGGACAUAAAAUAUCUGAUUUCCUUGGAGCAAUAUUAUGAUGGGUGACCUCUUUGGAAGUUUUCAUGGGAAGUGCAUGAGUGAGGACAAAGCACACUGAAAAGACCCGGUUGUUACCAUGAGGCCAGUCGUCAGAUCGAGAUGUUACAUGCACAACCUUUAUUUUAAAAUUACUAAUUUCUAAUUUAGUAUUGAUACA